CCAACCGUGUGCGGGUUCUGGCAGCAAGAGUGUUCUGUGUACUCGCGCCCUUUCAACGUACCUGUCAAUGGAGAGGACCACCAACGGAAGCUUUGACAGCCAGGACGCCUUGUGUGCGGCUGAGGGAGGUCAAGCCGCGACCAGGUUUGACAUCGUUAACUCCAGGAGCUGGAGUAUUAUUACGGUUCAGUGAGAGCCUGGACGACGAUGCUGUAUGAAGUGGCUCCCAAAUUAAUCGGUUGGAGUCGCAAGGAGGUUUGGCACGAUGGCGAGAGCGUUUCUGUUUCAAAAAUUGAUAUUCCUGUGGUGAGUCGAGUGUAUGGGUCAGA